GUUUGUUUUGUUAUAUUUCAUUUAGUACUUUGUCUCUUUGUCCUGAUGUGUCUUUACAGUAAGUAAAAAGCAGAUGUUGGUGGUAGAACCACUAGUUUGUAACACAUUUUUGUGUUGUGAAAACUUGGUUCACUAAGAUUUUGAUGACACUCAGCCUGAACUUGGUAUCUGUUGGUAUUUAAUCAGGGAUAGGAGCAUCCCAGGAUGCUCAGAAAAACGAGUCCCAUUCAGGGAAAUUAUUACUCCAAACAGUUUGCCUUGGAAACCUUGUUUCCUUGUUAUUUUGUAUACUCUGUAGCUAUUUUAAAAUAUUAUGCAUUGAGAAAACAUUAAUGCUAAAUGAUAUUCAGUCAUAAUUCCAUCACCUUUGUAUAGCCACUGUUGCCAUUGUUCCUUACUUUUUUUACUUAAUUUUAUGUGAGCUCUCUUACACUGUCUAUCCUCUUAAGUGCUUUGCUGUUGUGGAUAUCAGGCUUCAGAUUUUUUAAUGUU
rnacentral:lncRNA from 1 species